rnacentral:rRNA from 1 species
AACGAACGCUGGCGGCAUGCCUAACACAUGCAAGUCGAACGAUUGCCUUCGGGUGAUAGUGGCGCACGGGUGCGUAACGCGUGGGAAUCUGCCCUUAGGUUCGGAAUAACAGCUGGAAACGGCUGCUAAUACCGGAUGAUAUCGCGAGAUCAAAGAUUUAUCGCCUGAGGAUGAGCCCGCGUUGGAUUAGGUAGUUGGUGGGGUAAAGGCCUACCAAGCCGACGAUCCAUAGCUGGUCUGAGAGGAUGAUCAGCUACACUGGGACUGAGACACGGCCCAGACUCCUACGGGAGGCAGCAGUGGGGAAUAUUGGACAAUGGGCGCAAGCCUGAUCCAGCAAUGCCGCGUGAGUGAUGAAGGCCCUAGGGUUGUAAAGCUCUUUUACCCGGGAAGAUAAUGACUGUACCGGGAGAAUAAGCCCCGGCUAACUCCGUG